UACGGAGGGGGCUAGCGUUGUUCGGAAUUACUGGGCGUAAAGCGCACGUAGGCGGCUUUGUAAGUUAGAGGUGAAAGCCCGGGGCUCAACUCCGGAAUUGCCUUUAAGACUGCAUCGCUAGAAUUGUGGAGAGGUGAGUGGAAUUCCGAGUGUAGAGGUGAAAUUCGUAGAUAUUCGGAAGAACACCAGUGGCGAAGGCGGCUCACUGGACCGGCAUUGACGCUGAUGUGCGAAAGCGUGGGGAGCAAACAGG
rnacentral:rRNA from 1 species